AUAUGGUCAGCAUUGCAAAUUUGUAAUUAGGAAGAGGUUUAAGAAAUUUUAAUAAUAGUCUUAGACAAAUUUUUUCAUUUGCUCAGCAUAGCUAUUUAUUCUUUGUGGAUCUUAUAACUUUUUUCCUUUCGUUUAUCCAAAUUUUAAUGUUUCCUUAAAAAUAUACUAUAGCUUAACCGCAAAUUUCGCGCUUGUGGUUUUCGGGUUUCCUGUCCCAAAACUCUUUUUUAUGUCCGUUUUUGCAACGUGUCUUGUGGUUGAGUUGAUAAUUAUCGGAUCCAACUUUCCUGAAUGGGGCAAGCUUAUCAGUUCCCCUGAUAGCUUUUUGUUAUUAUUGCCCAAUCGUGGUUACCUCUAGAGUAUGAGCCAAAUUUAAUCAAUGACUUAUUGUGAUAUACCCACAUACAAAAUCCUCCUUCCACUGAAGAGAUCCAUCUUACAGGUCCCAUUGACGUCAGCGCCUAACUGGGGAUAUUAACACAGGAUAUUGUCUGCAAUCAACCUUAAUUCUUUUACAUAUAGUCUGGGAGCAUCGAUGUGACAGUUACCGCAAGAUGAUACCAGUUUGGCAUCUACCACUCCUUUCAUCUCCUUUGAUCGGUUUACCAACCCGUCUGGGCAGACCGCUCAUCUGUCAGGGUUCAUUAGGUUCCACUCAUAACACUGCUUCCGUUAUCCUUUGCUCUGAUCUUCGUUCUUCCGUUAUGCCAGUACUUCAAGAGAUCGGGUUCUUCUUUCUGAUCCCCAAGAGUGAUAAAGCAGAAUAGGUGCUAUUAUCAAUUUUUUAUGUCUGUUAAGUCAUCCUCAAGAUGAUGGAUCUAUAUAGUUUGAAUUGCUUCUCAAGGUGAUAAUACACCAAAGGAAGGUCCAACCUGUUAAUUGCAUUAACAACGAAUCCUACUCACAGCCCUAUUAACCAUAAAACACUAAAAUACACUGGAUUUUAUUAUCAGGCUGCUUCCUCGCAAGCCC
ensembl:ncRNA lncRNA:CR45040 long non-coding RNA:CR45040